GGAAAUUUGUUAGAGUGGUUUAAUAAGUUCGUCUUGAAAACGAAUGCUGUUUAAUCAGCCGUGGGUUCGAAUCCUACAAUUUCCG
rnacentral:tRNA from 1 species